CAGACAUAUAUCUCAUAAGGGACUUGUAUCCAAAAUAUAUAAAGAACUCUUACCACUCAAUAAUAAACACAACCCAAUUUUUAAAAGGGCAAAGGAUCUGAGUAGACAUGCUCAACAUGAUUAGUCAUUGGGGAAAUACAAAUCAAAACCAUAAGAUAGCACUUCACACCCACUAGGAGGUCUAGAAUUAAAACGUCCAAGUGUUGAGGAUGUGUAGAAAUGUUAGGAAUGUCAGAUGGUACAGCUGCUUUGGAAAACAGCUAGCAGUCCCUCAAACAUACCGUUAGCACAUGACCCAACAAUUCCAUUCUCAGGUGUAUACCCAAGAGAGAUGAAAACAUGUUCACAUAAAAACUUGUACAUGUAUGUUAAUGGCAGCAUUAUUCCUAAUAGCCAAAAUAUGAAAAUAACCCACAUGUCCGUCAGCUGACCAACAAAAUUUGGUGUAUCCAUACAACAAAAUAUUAUUCAGCCAUAAAAAGGAAUGAAAUGCUGAUAUGUGCUAUACAAUGUGGAAUAACCUUGAAAACAUGAUGCAAAGUGCAAGAAGUCAGUCCCAAAGACCAAGUGUAUGUAUACUUCCAGUCAUACGAAAUGUCCUGAACAGGGAAAUCUUGAGAUAGACAGUGGAUGUGUGGUUGCUUAGAGAUGGGGGGCGGGGGGUGGGCGGGGUGGGCAGAAGGGAAGGUGGUAAGGAGGAUGAUAGCUAAAGGAUAUGGGUUUUUGUUUUGCUUUGUUUUUGAGAUGGAGUCUUGCUCUGUUGCCCAGGCUGGAGUACAAUGGCACGAUCUUGGCUCACUGCAACCUCCACCUCCCGGGUUCAAGUGAUUCUCCUGCCUCAGCCUCCCGAGUAGCUGGGAUUACAGGGAUGUGCCACCAUGCCCCGCUAAUUUUUGUAUUUUUAGUAGAGGAGGGGUUUCACCAUGUUGGCCAGUCUGGUCUCGAACGCCCGACCUCAGGUGAUCCGCCCACCUCGGCCACCCACAGUGCUGGGAUUACAGGCUUGAGCCACCAGGAUAUGGGUUUUUGAGAUGAUGAAAAUGUUCUAAAAUUAACUGGUGAUGGUUGCACAUAUCUGUGAGUAUAUAAAAAAAACACUGUAUCAUACAGAUUAAAUGGGUAAACUGUAUGUGAAUUAUGUCCUAAUAAAGCUAACAGAAAAAUAAAGUUCAGCUUCUCAGUAACACUGCCCACGUGUGGCUAUUGGCUGCUGUAUUGAAUAAAGCAGAUAUAGAACAGGUCCAUCACUGCAGAAAGUUAUGUUGGACAACUACUGUUCUAGAUAUUAUUUAUCAGGUUCAAAACUAAAUUGUCAUCUAUUUCUGCUUUUUUGCCUUUCUGCUUAAUUCAGUAAGGUAGUAAGUCAGCUGUCUUGAGUUUUCUUGGCAACAACAACAAAAAGUCCCUUUCAGGUUAGUCUUUUCUGCUCACACGUUUCCUAACAAGUUAUUUAAAUUCUUUGACGUGUUUCAGAUGAUUUUUGAGUAUCACAUUGAGACCUUUUUUCUAUAUAUUACACUAACUCAAUUGUGAUUGUUUAUAGAAUCUAACUGGUUU
rnacentral:lncRNA from 10 species